rnacentral:ncRNA from 2 species
GCGUAGAGCUAGCGGGCUGGUUCCCGCGGCCAUACCGCCAAGGGAUCAAAAGGGAACACGGUGAGGCGUACCCAACAGGGACCGAUACCGUGGCUGCCCCCGCAACUGUGAGCGGCGAGCGAGCUUCGACAAUGCCACUGGUGAGCGAUCACCGGGAAGGCCGGAGACCGCAGCGACCCGCAAGCCAGGAGACCUGCCAGCCGCAACCGGGCACA